UGGUCACUCAUUGAUCACUCAUUGAUCACUCAUUGGUCACUCAUUGGUCACUCAGGGUCACUCAAUGGUCACUCAUUGGUCACUCAUUGAUCACUCAGUGGUCACUCAUUGAUCACUCAAUGGUCACUCAGGGUCACUCACUCAGUGGUCACUCAUUGAUCACUCAUUGGUCACUCAGGGUCACUCACUCAUUGGUCACUCAUUGGUCACUCAUUGGUCACUCACUGGUCACUCAUUGAUCACUCAUUGGUCACUCAGGUCACUCAUUGGUCACUCAUUGGUCACUCGGGGUCACUCAUUGAUCACUCAUUGGUCACUCAUUGAUCACUCAUUGGUCACUCAGGGUCACUCACUCAUUGGUCACUCAUUGGUCACUCAUUGGUCACUCAUUGAUCACUCACUGGUCACUCAUUGGUCACUCACUGGUCACUCAUUGGUCACUCGGGGUCACUCAUUGGUCACUCAUUGGUCACUCAUUGGUCACUCAUUGGUCACUCACUGGUCACUCAUUGGUCACUCAUUGGUCACUCAGGGUCACUCAUUGGUCACUCAUUGGUCACCCAUUGGUCACUCAUUGGUCACUCAUUGGUCACUCAUUGGUCACUCAUUGGUCACUCAUUGGUCACUCAGGGUCACUCAUUGGUCACUCAGUGGUCACUCAUUGGUCACUCAUUGGUCACUCGGGGUCACUCAUUGGUCACUCAUUGGUCACUCAUUGGUCACUCAUUGGUCACUCAUUGGUCACUCACUGGUCACUCAUUGGUCACUCAUUGGUCACUCAUUGGUCACUCAGGGUCACUCGUUGGUCACUCAUUGGUCACUCACUGGUCACUCAUUGGUCACUCAUUGGUCACUCACUGGUCACUCAUUGGUCACUCAUUGGUCACUCAUUGGUCACUCACUGGUCACUCACUGGUCACUCCCGCCCCUCCCCCCAGGCUGGACUCUCUCAGUGCCGGGGGUGCCGCAGCUUUAUUGGGGGAGGGGCGGGACCCAAAGGUGUCCAUGGGUGUCCCAAAGCCACCCCAGAUGUCCAUGGGUGUCCCAAAGCCACCCCAGGGUGUCCCAAAGCCACCCCAGAUGUCCAUGGGUGUCCCAAAGCCACCCCAGAUGUCCAUGGGUGUCCCAAAGCCACCCCAGGUGUCCCAUGGGUGUCCCAAAGCCACCCCAGGGUGUCCCAAAGCCACCCCAGAUGUCCAUGGGUGUCCCGAAGCCACCCCAGGUGUCCAGGGUGUCCCAAAGCCACCCCAGAUGUCCAUGGGUGUCCCAUAGCCACCCCAGGUGUCCCAUGGGUGUCCCAAAGCCACCCCAGGUGUCCCAUGGGUGUCCCAUGGCCACCCUGCGGUGUCCUCUUCAGGGUGUCCCACGGAUGUCCCAAAGCCACCCCAGGUGCCCCAUGGAGACCCCAAAGGGACCCAAAGCCACCCCAGGGUGCCCCACAGCCACCCCAGGACCUCUCAGGACACCCCCAAGACCCUCCAGGGCCACCCUGAGGCCACCCCAGAUCCCCUCGAGGUCACUCCGAGGCCACCCCAAGGUCACCCCAAUGUCCCUCUGAGGCCAUCCAGAGGCCACCCUGGAUCCCCCUGAGGCCACCCCAGAUCUCCCCAAGGCCACCCCGAGGUCACCCCCCGGCCACCCUGAGGUCACCCCUGGGCCACCCUGAGGCCACCACAGAUCCCCCCGAGGUCACCGUGAGGCCACCCCAAGGCCACUCCAG
ensembl:lncRNA